GGUAAACGCUGGCGGCAGGCCUAACACAUGCAAGUCGAACGGCAGCACAGAAGAGCUUGCUCUUUGGGUGGCGAGUGGCGGACGGGUGAGUAAUGUCUGGGAAACUGCCCGAUGGAGGGGGAUAACUACUGGAAACGGUAGCUAAUACCGCAUAACGUCGCGAGACCAAAGUGGGGGACCUUCGGGCCUCACACCAUCGGAUGUGCCCAGAUGGGAUUAGCUAGUAGGUGGGGUAAUGGCUCACCUAGGCGACGAUCCCUAGCUGGCCUGAGAGGAUGACCAGCCACACUGGAACUGAGACACGGUCCAGACUCCUACGGGAGGCAGCAGUGGGGAAUAUUGCACAAUGGGCGCAAGCCUGAUGCAGCCAUGCCGCGUGUAUGAAGAAGGCCUUCGGGUUGUAAAGUACUUUCAGCGGGGAGGAAGGCGGUGAGGUUAAUAACCUCGCCGAUUGACGUUACCCGCAGAAGAAGCACCGGCUAACUCCGUGCCAGCCGCCGCAGUAA
rnacentral:rRNA from 1 species